AUGGAAACUCUCCUGGGAGUGUCUUUGGUGAUUCUAUGGCUUCAACUGGCUAGGGUGAACAGUCAACAGGGAGAAGAGGAUCCUCAGGCCUUGAGCAUCCAGGAGGGUGAAAAUGCCACCAUGAACUGCAGUUACAAAACUAGUAUAAACAAUUUACAGUGGUAUAGACAAAAUUCAGGUAGAGGCCUUGUCCACCUAAUUUUAAUACGUUCAAAUGAAAGAGAGAAACACAGUGGAAGAUUAAGAGUCACGCUUGACACUUCCAAGAAAAGCAGUUCCUUGUUGAUCACGGCUUCCCGGGCAGCAGACACUGCUUCUUACUUCUGUGCUACGGACG